rnacentral:lncRNA from 1 species
AAUUGCCCGUGCGAUUGCAGCAGCCGCCGCCGCCUGAAAUCUCUCACCACCGGCCCCACCAACUGCUGCCGUGCUACUUUCUCCAAUACGCAAGCUCGUUGCCUGCCUAUUCUCCUCCCAUCCCCCCGUCCCUCAUCCCUGGAAACACCCGUAUCGCAUCAGAUCUCGUCUCCGACUCCGACUCGACUCGACUCCGACUCCGGCAAAUGGGAUCCCUUUAUACCUAUCUGUCUAUAUAAAGGGAAGGGAUGGAUUCACAGGUCUGU